rnacentral:lncRNA from 1 species
CUUGUCUUAUUUUUCAUUAGUGUUUGGAGAGAAUGGGAGUUUCUUCCUCAAAAUCAGAUGCAGUUACGCAAAAACCCCUUUCCACUACUGUCACUGUACAUACCACUGAAUAUACAUCUGCUGCUGACUCACGAGCUUCAGAAGCCAGAUGCUUUAUUGAUAACCCUGAGAUACUCUACAUAUUACUAGCCUUUAUCUCUGGCAUCCUAUCAAGUGUUCUGGUUUUUGCAAUUGUCUACCUCGUCAGAAAAAAGCAUAAGAGACCCCAAGAAAAUUUACAGGAGCAAGCUUCCAUUCAGACAGUCUGUGAGGCAUCUGUUGAAAACGUCCAGCCCCAGAAUGAGGUUACCUACACCAGCCUGGUCUUCCACCAGAGUCUGACACCGAUGACUGUGUGAUAAUGCAUAUGGCCUCUAGUGAAAUGAGGACACUUCUGCUUUCUGCAUGUGAAAUGCUACUGAG